rnacentral:rRNA from 1 species
GCGUUNUCCGGAAUUAUUGGGCGUAAAGAGCUCGUAGGCGGUUUGUCGCGUNUGCUGUGAAAUCCGGAGGCUCAACCUCCGGCCUGCAGUGGGUACGGGCAGACUAGAGUGCGGUAGGGGAGAUUGGAAUUCCUGGUGUAGCGGUGGAAUGCGCAGAUAUCAGGAGGAACACCGAUGGCGAAGGCAGAUCUCUGGGCCGUAACUGACGCUGAGGAGCGAAAGGGUGGGGAGCAAACAGGCUUAGAUACCCUGGUAGUCCACCCCGUAAACGUUGGGAACUAGUUGUGGGGUCCAUUCCACGGAUUCCGUGACGCAGCUAACGCAUUAAGUUCCCCGCCUGGGGAGUACGGCCGCAAGGCUAAAACUCAAAGGAAUUGACGGGGACCCGCACAAGCGGCGGAGCAUGCGGAUUAAUUCGAUGCAACGCGAAGAACCUUACCAAGGCUUGACAUAUACGAGAACGGGCCAGAAAUGGUCAACUCUUUGGACACUCGUAAACAGGUGGUGCAUGGUUGUCGUCAGCUCGUGUCGUGAGAUGUUGGGUUAAGUCCCGCAACGAGCGCAACCCUCGUUCUAUGUUGCCAGCACGUAAUGGUGGGAACUCAUGGGAUACUGCCGGGGUCAACUCGGAGGAAGGUGGGGAUGACGUCAAAUCAUCAUGCCCCUUAUGUCUUGGGCUUCACGCAUGCUACAAUGGCCGGUACAAAGGGCUGCAAUACCGCGAGGUGGAGCGAAUCCCAAAAAGCCGGUCCCAGUUCGGAUUGAGGUCUGCAACUCGACCUCAUGAAGUCGGAGUCGCUAGUAAUCGCAGAUCAGCAACGCUGCGGUGAAUACGUUCCCGGGUCUUGUACACACCGCCCGUCAAGUCAUGAAAGUCGGUAACACCUGAAGCCGGUGGCCUAACCCU